UCUGUUGUGAACUAUUUCUCUAAAAUUUAUUUAGCUAAAUGGAUUGCUAGGUUUGACUAUUUUUUGUUUCCUCCUUUUAUCAAACUCCUUAUCAUAUUUUCAUUCGGCUUUUAUUGCUUUUUAGGAGCUAUGACCACUAAGCCAAACUUUUUAGAUUGAGUAAAGGUUUAUAUUCUCCUUUUUGAACUUAUUAUGGGAAUGAAGAUAUCGAGAUUUCAUAAAAAGUGCUAUAGAUUUUCACCAAUCCAAGAUAUUCUAUAGCAACAAUUGAAAAGGACUUUGCUAUAAAUAAAAUUCUAACCUUCAAAUCCUCAAACUUCAUCCUCUACUCAAGCUUUGGAGCCAACUGAUGUUUGGCCAAAACCCUAUUUACUUUGGCCAAGUCAAAUGAAUUCUUUAGCCCUUCUCUCUUCUUCGACAUGAAAGCUUUCAAGUCUAGCAAAGUCAUACUAACACUUGCUUUAGGGAAUGAAUCACUAUAAACCAAUAUCACUUUUUUAUCUUUCUUUAGAAAUUUGAGCCCUAUAUUAAUAAUAACUUUCUACAUGAUAUUGCGGAGGAUGAUAUGGUCGGUAUGGUGAUGACUCCAUUUGUGCCACUUACAAUACCUCUUAUCCUUC
rnacentral:lncRNA from 1 species